rnacentral:rRNA from 1 species
AUGAACGCUGGCGGCGUGCCUAAUACAUGCAAGUCGAGCGAACAGACGAGGAGCUUGCUCCUCUGACGUUAGCGGCGGACGGGUGAGUAACACGUGGAUAACCUACCUAUAAGACUGGGAUAACUUCGGGAAACCGGAGCUAAUACCGGAUAAUAUAUUGAACCGCAUGGUUCAAUAGUGAAAGACGGUUUUGCUGUCACUUAUAGAUGGAUCCGCGCCGCAUUAGCUAGUUGGUAAGGUAACGGCUUACCAAGGCUACGAUGCGUAGCCGACCUGAGAGGGUGAUCGGCCACACUGGAACUGAGACACGGUCCAGACUCCUACGGGAGGCAGCAGUAGGGAAUCUUCCGCAAUGGGCGAAAGCUUGACGGAGCAACGCCGCGUGAGUGAUGAAGGUCUUCGGAUCGUAAAACUCUGUUAUUAGGGAAGAACAAAUGUGUAAGUAACUAUGCACGUCUUGACGGUACCUAAUCAGAAAGCCACGGCUAACUACGUG